CUCUCAAGUGGGAGCUAAGAUGAACACGCCAAGGGAUCCAGUAGGGCCAGUGGAUUCCAGGAGAGAGCAGACGGAUGGUGCGGGCACAGGGGUGGGACUCUUACGGGGACACAGAGAGGUAAGCAAUCCGCUCCAGGACAGAGGUGGGAGCGCUGUCGGGCUCCUGGCAGGACUCUCUGGGUGGAGGAGACCCAGCCCGUGGGAAGCUAGGUCGACAGUUCCCAGCUCCAACCACGAGGGAGACAGCAUCCGGGAGCCCAGAGCAGCCUCAAAGGCACAGCACACAUGGAAGGAAAAGCAGAGGACAGAGCAGAAGAAGCUUUGGAAGGGAUUGCAGCCGAGACCUCUGCACAGCUAGUGGCAGAGAUACACCAUAGACCCGAGCAGCUCCGAGAAGACCCAGAGGGAUAGAGACGAUGACCCUGAAACCCCCCCAUGCAGACCCUGGACAUUCAAGUGCAGAGAACAGAAAACAAACCCAGAGUCCUGAGAGGAGCUGGAGGGAAGUCUUCCCCGCUGUGGAUGGACAUCGUGUCCUGUCCAGAGCCGCAGCAGGAAAACAGUGAGAAAUACACAAAACCACCCUCCCAGAAGUCACUGAAACUACCGUCCAAGGUGGAGGAGGCACCGCCUCCUUCAAGCCACGAUGGAGAGCAUGCAGCCCAGGGCCGGCCUCGUAGGCAGCGCUGGACGACGUCCUCGGGCCAGAGCUUGGCUUCACCGGGAGACCAGGAGGCAGCACAGAAGCAACAAGAGUAAGGGCCUCAGUGUCCCCACAUCCUUCCAGGACAGCUGUGCAGAGGCAAGCACCUGCGUGACUGCGUGGUCACAUAAUGUCCAUGUGUGUGCGCAUAUGCGAGCCACCAGCCCAUGAGCACGUCUGCAUCGUCCAUCCUGUCCCCACCUGAAUGGCAGCACAUGGCAGGACAGUGAGUUCCAACUGUUGCUGGCAUUGCAAUCACCCAGAGAAAGAAGCAUGGCUCCACCCUAGAGAUCCUGAGCCCAUCUCAGGAGAGGCUGAACGAUGAUGGCCAAUCUUGGACUCUCCUGAGGCUCGCGUUCUGGAUGCAGGGGAGGCCCCACCAACUAGCUAUUUUCAGAGAAAGUGGACAGGUCCUGGUGAAAUCACAAGCCACAAUUAUCUCUAGCUCCAGGUUUUAUGGGGCAGGCCUAGAAGUGGCCUGCAGCCCAUCAUCCGGAGCUUGGCCAGCCCCCUAAACAGUGAGGUGGUAUGGAAAACACAGUCUUCUGGAGGAUGAGCACCAGGACUGGUCAACAUUGUCCUUAGCAUGAGGACCUACAUGGUUGUAGUUUCCCUGUCCUCAGAGAGAACAGAGGAGGGACUGAGCUGAUGGGAGGUGUUGCUGCACAAUCUGGAAUCUAGCCCUCUAAAUGCCACCAGGGAGUGAGAGCCUCACACAGCGGGGAACAUAGUCCCACCCAUCAGCAAACCCUGGAGAGCUAGCCAUGUGGCCCUGGCCCACCGCAGGCUGGAGGGCAGUCUCCACACCGGUGGCAGGCAGGCAGGCAUGCACCGGGCACAUGGCUUCGGUAGGGGCUAGGCUUCCCUUUAGGGUGAUGAGGAGGCCGGCAAUCCAUCUAGGGCAUGCACACUGGGUGGACAGACCGCAGCUCGGGCCCAUCUGUGCAGCCUCACUCUUUGCAGGCCCUGGAAGCUCUGGGACUCAGGACAGAGGGGAGGCUGGAGGCCAAAGCCCCAGGUCCUGGG